UUUGUCCAGCGGGUUUCUUUCACGAAGUAUUUUCUAACUGCGUCCGCACUCACAGGGAAUGGAAAAUCGUCGUCAUCCGUGGUCAUAAACAACAAGGUUCUGUCAGAUGGAACCCUCUUGACCAUGAAUGGACAUUCGUAACUGUUUGUCCAUUUGCCCCACAAUCGUUUUGAGGUGGAAGGAUCCUUUUCAACCAAUUCUUCCAGGUGAUACGCCCAAGGUCACACUUCUCGGUCAACAAUAAGCUUCGCUCAUUGAGUAC
rnacentral:lncRNA from 1 species